UACGGGAGGCAGCAGUGGGGAAUAUUGCACAAUGGGCGCAAGCCUGAUGCAGCCAUGCCGCGUGUAUGAAGAAGGCCUUCGGGUUGUAAAGUACUUUCAGUCGUGAGGAAGGUGUUAAGGUUAAUAACCUUAGCAAUUGACGUUAGCGACAGAAGAAGCACCGGCUAACUCCGUGCCAGCAGCCGCGGUAAUACGGAGGGUGCGAGCGUUAAUCGGAAUUACUGGGCGUAAAGGGCACGCAGGCGGUUAAUUAAGUUGAAUGUGAAAUCCCCGGGCUUAACCUGGGAAUGGCAUUCAAGACUGGUUAGCUAGAGUCUUGUAGAGGGGGUAGAAUUCCAUGUGUAGCGGUGAAAUGCGUAGAGAUGUGGAGGAAUACCGGUGGCGAAGGCGGCCCCUGGACAAAGACUGACGCUCAUGUGCGAAAGCGUGGGGAGCGAAACAGGGAUUAGAUACC
rnacentral:rRNA from 1 species